GAUGAACGCUGGCGGCGUGCUUAACACAUGCAAGUCGAACGAAGCACUCUAUUUGAUUUCCUUCGGGACUGAUUAUUUUGUGACUGAGUGGCGGACGGGUGAGUAACUCGUGGGUAACCUGCCUUGUACAGGGGGAUAACAGUUGGAAACGGCUGCUACUACCGCAUAAGCGCACAGCAUCGCAUGAUGCAGUGUGAAAAACUCCGGUGGUAUAAGAUGGACCCGCGUUGGAUUAGCUAGUUGGUGAUGUAACGGCCCACCAAGGCGACGAUCCAUGGCCGACCUGGUGAGGUGACCGGCCGCGAUGGGACUGAGACACGGCCCAAACUCCUACGGGGGGCAGCGGUAGGGAGUAUUGCACAAUGGGCGAAAGCCUGAUGCAGCGACGCCGCGUGAGCGAAGAAGUAUUUCGGUAUGUAAAGCUCUAUCAGCAGGGAAGAUAAUGACGGUACCUGACUAAGAAGCACCGGCUAAAUACGUG
rnacentral:rRNA from 1 species